rnacentral:rRNA from 1 species
UACGUAGGGACCAAGCGUUGUUCGGAUUUACUGGGCGUAAAGGGCGCGUAGGCGGCGCUGUAAGUCACUUGUGAAAUCUCUGAGCUUAACUCAGAACGGCCAAGUGAUACUGCAGUGCUAGAGUGCGGAAGGGGCAAUCGGAACUCUUGGUGUAGCGGUGAAAUGCGUAGAUAUCAAGAGGAACACCUGAGGUGAAGACGGGUUGCUGGGCCGACACUGACGCUGACAGCGCGAAAGCCAGGGGAGCAAACGGG